ACGAACGCUGGCGGCGUGCUUAACACCUGCAAGUCGAACGAUGAAGAAAAGAAUCGAAGCUUCGGCAGAAAUUCAUUUCGGAUUAGUGGCAGACGGGUGAGUAACGCGUGAGCAACCUACCUCUUACAAAGGGAUAGCCUCGGGAAACCGGGAUUAAUACCAUAUAACAUUGCGACGAAGCAUUUCGAUGCAAUCAAAGCUACGGCGGUAAGAGAUGGGCUCGCGUCCCAUUAACCGGAUGGUGAGGUAACGGCUCACCAUAGUGACGAUGGGUAACCGGCCUGAGAGGGUGAACGGUCACACUGGAACUGAGACACGGUCCAGACUCCUACGGGAGGCAGCAGUGGGGAAUAUUGCACAAUGGAGGGAACUCUGAUGCAGCGACGCCGCGUGAGUGAUGAAGGAAUUCGUUUCGUAAAACUCUGUUCUAUGGGAAGAAAAGGACUGUACCAUAGGAGAAAGCGCCGGCUAAAUACGUG
rnacentral:rRNA from 1 species